rnacentral:rRNA from 1 species
AGGGUGGCCUUUACGGCGAGUGAAGCGGCAAAAGCUCAAAUUUGAAAUCUGGUACCUUCGGUGCCCGAGUUGUAAUUUGUAGAAGGUAACUUUGGGGCUGGUCCUUGUCUAUGUUCCUUGGAACAGGACGUCAUAGAGGGUGAGAAUCCCGUGUGGCGAGGAUCCCAGUUCUUUGUAAAGUGCUUUCGAAGAGUCGAGUUGUUUGGGAAUGCAGCUCUAAGUGGGUGGUAAAUUCCAUCUAAAGCUAAAUAUUGGCGAGAGACCGAUAGCGAACAAGUACAGUGAUGGAAAGAUGAAAAGAACUUUGAAAAGAGAGUGAAAAAGUACGUGAAAUUGUUGAAAGGGAAGGGCAUUUGAUCAGACAUGGUGUUUUGCGCCCUCUGCUCCUUGUGGGUGGGGGAAUCUCGCAGCUCACUGGGCCAGCAUCAGUUUUGGCGGCAGGAUAAAUCUGCAGGAAUGUAGCUUGCCUCGGUAAGUGUUAUAUCCUGUAGAAAUACUGCCAGCUGGGACUGAGGACUGCGACUUUACGUCAAGGAUGCUGGCAUAAUGGUUAUAUGCCGCCCGUCUUGAAACACGGACCA